CUUUGUCUUCUUCCAGUUCUCAAGGAGAAUGCUUCCAGCUUUUGCCUGUCCAGUAUGAUGAUGGCUAUGGGUUUGUCAUAGAAGAUUCUUACUAUUUUGAGGUUUUGGUAUCAGAAUGAUGCUGGAGUCACAGAAUGAUUAAAGGAGGAGUUCCCGCUUGAUUUUUGUUUUUUUUGGAAUAAUUUCACUAGGAUUGGUACUAGCUCUUCUUUGUAUGUCUGGUAGAAUUUGGCUGUGAAUUUGCCUGGUCCAGGGCUUUUGUUUUUUAUUGGUAGGUUUUUAAAAAAAUUAUUUUAAAAUGUACUUCUAAUUCUUGGCUUUAUUUUCAGUUAUAAACAUCAGCUGGCCUAUCUGGUGGUGUGCAGGUAGUAUACUGUGGGCAGUUUCAUCUGUUUAGAUGAGGAAUUUAUUGCAGGGUAUUGGACCAGGACACCUGACGCAGCUGGGUCAAAAGUCUUUCAGUGAUUUUCAUCUUGGUGACUUCUAAUAUAGCUCAGGCUGUCACAUAUUUGUUUACCUUAUUUUAUUUGCCUAUCUUGUUAGCUUGGUAAGAAGUUCCUUCAUUGUUCAGAGAUGAUCUUUUAUGUAGGCAAUUCAUGUAAGGAUUUUCAGGAACUUUUUAUUUUUCAUAAAGAGGAUAUUCUUCAAACAUCUUUGUAUAACUGUUCCUCAAGAAGUUGGUGGAAGCUGUUAAAUAAUCUUGUGUAGUUAAUGUUAAUUCAUUAUUUUACUUGUUAAAAUGUAGGGAUUAAAAGAUAAUCUAUGUUAUGAGAGACUAAUAAAAAUGGACUAAUUUUAAUAUACUUGUUUUAAAAAUGAUUUAUUAUGAUUAUCAUUCAAUCAACAAUGCUGCUAGAAAGCUGUUAUUUAGCCUGAAUUUUAGAAAAUGUGUUAAUUUUUUAAAGGUACAUUGAUUUUUUUGAUAGGAAUAAUUGAAUGCAGUGACCGUGGCAGCUUUGGCCAUGAUUAUUUAGGUAAACCACAACUAAUUCAUAAAGUGCUGAGGACCCUUUAAUACCUACCAAAAAUGGGCAGGCUGUCAAUUUGGAAGUUUCCAUGUGAAACAUAUUCUUUCACUUGGCCUCUGAAAAACUUUCCUGCAGUUCCCUGCAUAGAAUGUAGUUUAUUUACUGAAAAGAAGGAAUGAUUGAGUCAACUCACAGGAGAUAAAUCUGUGGUAGGUGUUACAGGGCUGAUUUUUAUACCAUAUAACAUAAGUUUAUUUUACUUGGUAGUAUGUAAAUUUUACUGGUGAAAGCAGAAGUACCCAUUCAGAGGUAUUUUAGACUUCGAUGAAGAACAGUGCUUUUUGUUAGGAAUAACAUAUUAGUUUGUUCCCUAGUAAUGGAAUUCAAAGCUUUUAGAAGGAGAUUAAGUUCUUUCUUUAAUCUGUGUUAACACAAGAGACAAAUAACUAUCUAAUAAUAAUUUAAAUGUUUAAAGGUUAAUUUAUAAUUUACCUGUAACAUACAUUGUUACCUUCCAUCAGAUUAACUGCAAUGAACUUGUCAUUUCCAACAUCAGUUUUGAAGACCAACAUUAUGCUGCCUUUAAUGGAGGGGAUCGGUGUAAACAACAUCCACAUUCCAUUCAAGGCCCAGACUAGACACCAGAGUUACUAGUUUUUACAUGGCUUGAUUAGAAAAGAGGUGGUUCCUAUGCACUGAAGUUUUCUCUAUUAGAAUGGGCACAUUUCCCAGCACAAAUAUGAUACUUCUAUACUAAUCAGGAUGGAGUCUUAUCCUGCAAUGAGACUUAAAUUUUGGACCUUUCACCACAUCAUUGCUGUUUUCUACGUGGUCAAAAAUAGAUAUAGAGUAAACCAGCCCCAAAAGUCAAUUACAGGGUUUUAUAGUGAUGUACUGUGAAAAAUUUGGUCAUGUUUUUCAUUAUACAGAAUGUUCUUUCCAAAGACAUAAACAGAAAAAGCACAUACGUUUGAUUUUAAAAAUAACUCUGCCUAGCCGUUUAAACUAGUGGAGACAUUUUGGAUCUUUUUAAAUGAUCAUUAUUAUAAUUACAUGAUAAACCUCUAUCUAAAGGCAGCCAUUCUUUGUAAUUACUUAUUCACCCUCCCCACCAAUUGAAAA